rnacentral:rRNA from 1 species
UCUUACCUGCCCAGUGACAAGUUAAACGGCCGCGGUAUUUUGACCGUGCAAAGGUAGCGCAAUCACUUGUCUUUUAAAUGAAGACCUGUAUGAAUGGUAGAACGAGGGCUUAACUGUCUCCCCUCUCAAGUCAAUGAAAUUGAUCUGCCCGUGCAGAAGCGGACAUACAAAUACAAGACGAGAAGACCCUUUGGAGCUUAAGACAUAAGGUCAACUAUGUCAAUAUAUCCAAAACCAAUACUAAACUAAAUAGCAUCUGACCCCCGUCUUCGGUUGGGGCGACCACGGAACAAAACAAAUCUUCCACGCGGACUGGGACCACCAAACCCUAAAACCAAGAAAGACAUUUCUAAGUAACAAAACAUUUGACCACCAUAGAUCCGACAACUCAGUCGAUCAACGGACCAAGUUACCCUAGGGAUAACAGCGCAAUCCCCUUUAAGAGUCCCUAUCGACAAGGGGGUUUACGACCUCGAUGUUGGAUCAGGACAUCCUAAUGGUGCAGCCGCUAUUAAGGGUUCGUUUGUUCAACGAUUAAAGUCCU